GGGGUUGUAGCUCAGUGGCAGAGAGCUCAUCUGGCAUGUGUGAGGCACUGAGUUCAACCCUCAGCAUCACAU
rnacentral:tRNA from 1 species